rnacentral:rRNA from 1 species
CAGUCGCCGCGUAAUACGAAGGGGGCUAGCGUUGUUCGGAAUUACUGGGCGUAAAGCGCACGUAGGCGGAUAUUUAAGUCAGGGGUGAAAUCCCGCAGCUCAACUGCGGAACUGCCUUUGAUACUGGGUAUCUUGAGUAUGGAAGAGGUUAGUGGAAUUGCGAGUGUAGAGGUGAAAUUUGUAGAUAUUCGCAGGAACACCAGUGGCGAAGGCGGCUAACUGGUCCAUAACUGACGCUGAGGUGCGAAAGCGUGGGGAGCAAACAGGAUUAGAUACCCGAGUAGUCCCUGUCUCUUAUACA